UCUAUUUUGACAGAAAAAUGUAAUGAAUUUAGGAUUCAUAUAUAUAUAAAAUAAAUUAUAUAAAUAGAA
rnacentral:tRNA from 1 species